AAGAAUGUCAAGUUGAUUUUGUAACUUGGAUCACUGCCUUACUCCUGUUUCCCUCAAUAUCUAUGUUAUAUCCUAUAUGCCCAGACCUGUUAAGAUGAACAUACUCUGGAGGAGGACACUGAGCCAAAGACUGCCGUGGAGUCUCUUAGAAGAAUUUUAAGACUGUUGCCAUGCCGACUAUGGACUCAUUGAUGAUACACAUAUUCUAGACUGUGACUCAGAGCUGGAAGCUGAUGAACAUGAGCAGCGGAACACAAGGCCUGAGGAGGUGUCCUAACGGGAUAGACAUCCAGACCCUUGAAAGAAGAUUUACACUGCUGUCUAGGCUUCUACACAUUCACUGCAACCCAUGGACAUUCUAGUUGCUGCUGAAAAGUUGAAAGAAGCCCAGAGUAGCACGCAGAGUCUGGAAUGUGAGUCAUCUACCUUCAAUCCAGUCAUCAGUAUUGGAGUAUUCCCAUUCUAUGUGCCCAGACCAGGACAGCAGAAUA